rnacentral:rRNA from 1 species
GAUCAUGGCUCAGGAUGAACGCUAGCGGCAGGCUUAACACAUGCAAGUCGAGGGGCAGCAUAAUGGAUAGCAAUAUCUAUGGUGGCGACCGGCGCACGGGUGCGUAACGCGUAUGCAACCUACCUUUAACAGGGGGAUAACACUGAGAAAUUGGUACUAAUACCCCAUAAUAUCAUAGAAGGCAUCUUUUAUGGUUUGAAAAUUCCGAUGGUUUAGAGACGGGCAUGCGUUGUA